rnacentral:rRNA from 1 species
UACGUAGGGACCAAGCGUUGUUCGGAUUUACUGGGCGUAAAGGGCGCGUAGGCGGCCUUCUAAGUCGAACGUGAAAUCCCCGGGCUCAACCCGGGAACUGCGUCCGAUACUGGAAGGCUUGAAUCCGGGAGAGGGAUGUGGAAUUCCAGGUGUAGCGGUGAAAUGCGUAGAUAUCGAGAGGAACACCAGUGGCGAAGGCGAGUCCUUGGACAAUACCUGACACUGAGGCACGAAAGCCAGGGGAGCAAACGGG